GCAAUGUCUUUUCUAAUUUCAUUUGCGAACGCCUGUUCAGGUUCAGGAUUACUGGUAAAUCAGCAUCAGCUGCGUAAUCAAUACAAAAACAUUUUAAUUUCACCAUUUAGCAACAAAUUGCAUUAUGCAUAAUAUUCUAUAAUUUCAUCCAACGUCUGCAACUCAUCUUGAUACAGAAUCUUCACAAAACUUUGGAAAUUGGAACUGAAAAAUGAAAAUAAUAAAAUAUACAUACCGCUGUGCCUAACAAUGUGACAAGUGAGUAGUGACAACCAUCCAUAUCCACACCAUUUUAUAGGUGUUUCCGUUCGGUGAAAAAUAGACUUUUUCAAAUUCCUCUGUUAUCAAUUUUUGUUUGUUUACGUUGUUGUUAAAACAUAAUCUGUAACUUCGCAAUCUUCGCAAUUUGAGCAAUUUCGAAUAAAGUUUUCGGCAUUUUUAUUUUGUGUUACUAGUAUUAACCCUAUUGAGUUGAUUUCUUCGGAUUUAAAGCUAUGAGCGUUCCAUUUUUUCCAACACUAGAGCCAAAAGUAGUCGAGACAUUAUGGUAUUGUCCAGAUAAGAACAAAAAUGACGUUCUAGAUGUAGAUCAAAUUGAA